rnacentral:rRNA from 1 species
UGCGUAGGCGGCUCUAUAAGUCAGAAGUGAAAGCCUGCGGCUUAACCGUAGAAUUGCUUUUGAUACUGUAGAGCUUGAAUUAGGUUGAGGUUGGCGGAAUGUGACAUGUAGCGGUGAAAUGCAUAGAUAUGUCAUAGAACACCAAUUGCGAAGGCAGCUGACUAGACCUUAAUUGACGCUGAGGCACGAAAGCGUGGGGAGCGAACA